UCCCGGCUGGCUCAGUGGUAAAGAAUCUGCCUGCAAAGGAGGAGAUGCAGGUUCAAGCCCUGGGUUGGGAA
rnacentral:tRNA from 1 species